rnacentral:lncRNA from 1 species
GUCCCAGGUGAUUGGGGGGUCCCGGGGGGGUCCCAGGCUCCGGGAAACCCCCUGCUUCUUUUUGCCCUCAGUCAAAAUGGCGCCCGCCCUUGACUCCCAUUCACUCUUUGCCAUCACCAAAGAUGGCGCCGCGGCUUCAAUGCCCGCCCCUCAUGCCCGCCCCCCGCGCGGGGCACGCCGGGAGUGGGGAAUUCCCCGGCGCGUGAGGCGCGGGAAGCACCGGAGGUACCGGGGAGGCCCCGGGGGGGUUUUGGGGGUUUUUGGGGGUCCCGGGGGGUUUUUGGGGGUCCCGGGGGGGUCCCAGGCUCCAGUCCUGGCGCCCGCAGUGAAACCCCCUUGCUUCUUUUUGCCCUCAGUCAAAAUGGCGCCCGCCAUUGACCCCCAUUCACUCUUUGCCAUCACCAAAGAUGGCGCCGCGGCUUCAAUGCCCGCCCCUCAUGCCCGCCCCCCGCGCGGGGCACGCCGGGAGCGGGGAAUUCCCCGGCGCGUGAGGCGCGGGAAGCACCGGAGGGGUCCCCUCGCUGCCCCUCCCCCACCAUGGCCGAGGAUCUGGAGCCGCUCCUGGGGGGAGAAGGAUUCCUGGAUUUAUGGAACAUGCUCCCCAAUAGCAUCAAUUCCUUGCCCGAGGAUCUGCUGGAAUGGCAGCAGCUGA